rnacentral:rRNA from 1 species
UCCAGAGGUCUCAAGCGUUGUUCGGAUUCAUUGGGCGUAAAGGGUGCGUAGGUGGCGCUGUAAGUCGGGUGUGAAAUUUCGAGGCUUAACCUCGAAACUGCAUUCGAUACUGCGGUGCUUGAGGACUGGAGAGGAGACUGGAAUUCAUGGUGUAGCAGUGAAAUGCGUAGAGAUCAUGAGGAAGACCAGUGGCGAAGGCGGGUCUCUGGACAGUUCCUGACACUGAGGCACGAAGGCCAGGGGAGCAAACGGG